AUUCCAGUGAGCUAUAUUAAGCAUCGAUAAUGGGCUCUAGAGUUUGGUUCAAGAAUAUAAUGAGCAAAAAGAAAGUGAGAGGUGACAGAGCUCAAAAAUUGAAGGUUUGCUGUUCUUAAAUAUUCUUAAUUCCCUUAUCACUAGAUCUUAGUCUUGGCAAUCUUAGACAUCAUAUAUAAUUUUAUAUAAAUUUUUGUUUCAAACUCGUGAGUUGUGACGAGAUCAUUCUCAACGGUGUAAUUCCACAAUUAUCGUCAAAAUUCCACUUCUCAGGUAAGCAAUGGCUUGCCCUAACUUGUUAUUAAAGAGAUUGAAAAUGUUUGAAGUCUUGUCGGCUUGUAUAAUUGCAGCUUGGUUGGCUUAUAUGAUUGGUUAUUGUGGGAUGAACAAUUAUACAGGCGCACAUAGUAACUGUAUUGAAAAUUGUAAUUGUGUGAUGAUUGAGAUAUUUUGUAAUUGUUUUUUAGGUUAAUCAUUGGACAUUAUACGCCAUUGAAUUUUGUAUUUAUAUAAAUCGUUUCUAUAAUAUAUUUGGUUGUUGUUUUAAAGUUAAUUUUUUAAGUUAGCAAUGGAUCGCAUAAUACACCGUUGAAUUUUGUUUUUACAUUGCUUUCGCUGGGGGACCUAAUUUACACACUUCGCCUCAGGGCCCAACAAUCACAGGACCGGCUCUGAUUCCAUGAAAGACAUUGUCAAACCAAUUGGUGCGGCGGUUGAUUCUGAUAAAGAUGAAUUAGAGGCAGAACUUGAAGACUAGAAGGCAACCUGUACGCCCAACUGCUUGCAAGAAUACAGAAGAUGAAGAUGAGCUUGAUGCAUUGCAGGCAGAAAUGGCUCAGUGGUUGCUACAAAGAAGAAAAAAUGAUUCUAGUGAGGAAUUAGAAUCUAGAACACCAGAAUAUGAAGCACCGAAGACAAACCAUGUUGUUGGUGUUGAAACCUAUCCUUGAGGUCAUUCCCAAUGGCAGUCAAACUGGUGGAUGAUCUGAAGCCAAACUAUCUUUGUAGCCAGUAAAAUGCUGAGAUGAUAGCAAUAGUAGGAAGCAAUUAUGCUCUGAUACCAUAUUAAAUUCUUGAAUUCAAACAAUGUUGAAACCUGGCAUGAUUGCAGGAACUAAAAGGCCUCAUCAUUGAAGCAAGAAAUACUCCAUGAAAG
rnacentral:lncRNA from 1 species